rnacentral:rRNA from 1 species
UACGUAGGGGGCUAGCGUUGUCCGGAUUUAUUGGGCGUAAAGAGCGUGUAGGCGGCCCGGUAAGUCCGCUGUGAAAGUCGGGGGCUCAACCCUCGAAUGCCGGUGGAUACUGUCGGGCUAGAGUGCGGAAGAGGCGAGUGGAAUUCCUGGUGUAGCGGUGAAAUGCGCAGAUAUCAGGAGGAACACCAAUUGCGAAGGCAGCUCACUGGGACGUCACUGACGCUGAGACGCGAAAGUGUGGGGAGCAAACAGG